rnacentral:lncRNA from 10 species
CCCAGUCUGCACGGCUCGAGACGGCCGCUCAUCCCUGCUCCCCGUGUGUCCCUCGGUCCUCUCUGCAGCUCCCAGCCCUCAACUCCUUACCCCAGUUUGGGCAACCAGCUGCCCCGCUGUUUGGCCCAGGCCUGGGCCAUGACGGAUGGGUGGGCGCCCGGGGCCGCGAGAAGGGCGGAACGCUGUGCCCAGCCGGAGACUACGCUGGGUGGCGGCGGCAGCGCCGGGAGUCUGCAGUGCGCGAGGGAGAAGUGAGCGCACAGCGCCCAGCGAGCAGGUGCCUGCGGCGCGGAGAGCGCACACGCUAGCCAGCCCGCAGCGGCCGAAAGUGACCACUGUUCCUGGAGGAUUUGCAUUGCUGGAGAAGUGCAUUCUAACAGUGGAAUUCAGGCGGCGAGAGUCGGUCAAUUCACCGUACCAUGUGGACUCCCCAGUGUGGAGCAGAAUCUGAGGACUGACUUGCUAAGAAUCUCUGGGCACCCUGGAUAGAACCUUCCCUUUGGCUCUGAGCAUGGUGGCUCACACCUGAGAUCCCAGCACUUCGGAAGGCCGAGGUGGGAGAAUUGCUUGAGGCCAGGAGUUCGAGACCAGCCUAGGUAACGUAACGAGACCUUGUCCCUACAAAAAAUUAAAAGAAAAUUACCCAAGUGUAUUAGUCCAUUUUCACACUGCUAUGAAGAACUGCCUGAGACUGGGUAAUUUAUAAGAAAAGAGGUUUAACUGACUCACAGUUCCUCAUGGCAGGAAAGGCCUCAGGAAAUUUAUGAUCGUGGCGGAAGGGGAAGCAGGCACGUCUUACGUGGCGGUAGGUGAGAGAGGAUGUGUAGGAAGUGAAAGGGUAAGAGCCCCUUAUAAAACCAUCAAAUCUCAUGAGAAAUCACUCUCUAUCAUGAGGACAGCAUGGGGGAACCACCCCCAUGAUCCAAACACGUCCCACCAGGUCUUUCCCUCAACACCUGGGGAUUACAAUUUAAGAUGAGAUUUGGUGGGGACACAAAGUCUGACCCAUAUCACCAGGUGUGUUGGUGCACGGAUGUGGGAGGAUCUUGAGCCCAGGAGGUUGAGGCUUCAGUGAGCCAUGAAUGCACCCCGGCACUCUAGCCUGGGUGACAGAGGGAGCCCCUGUCUCAAAAACAAAAA